CUCUCUUCGGCCACACAUCGAGAACCAAUAUGCCUCUGGCUGCCUAUAUCUCUCUCCGACCGAACAUCGAGCAUCGGCACAUCUCUCUCGGCCAUACACCAAGCAUCACCGGUCACCGAAGCCUCAGUCCCGAGAAGUGCCAUCUCAGGUCAUGCAUCUCCCUCCGGCCGCUCAUCAAGCAUCGCCCAAUUGAGUGAGCGCAAACUUUCAGUCCUUUUUGGCUUUAUGCUAUAUUUCACCAGGGUUGAAUGUGAAGUCAUGCAGAGAUUGAGACCCAUUCUAUUAAUGAUGCUGAGUGGAGCGAUAUCCAAUCUAUAAAUGC
rnacentral:lncRNA from 1 species